GACGAACGCUGGCGGCGUGCUUAACACAUGCAAGUCGAACGGAAAGGCCCUGCUUUUGUGGGGUGCUCGAGUGGCGAACGGGUGAGUAACACGUGAGUAACCUGCCCUUGACUUUGGGAUAACUUCAGGAAACUGGGGCUAAUACCGGAUAGGAGCUCCUGCUGCAUGGUGGGGGUUGGAAAGUUUCGGCGGUUGGGGAUGGACUCGCGGCUUAUCAGCUUGUUGGUGGGGUAGUGGCUUACCAAGGCUUUGACGGGUAGCCGGCCUGAGAGGGUGACCGGCCACAUUGGGACUGAGAGACGGCCCAGAAUCGUACGGGAGGCAGCAGGGGGGAAUAUUGAACAAGGGGCGGAAGCCUGAUGCAGCAACGCCGCGUGCGGGAUGACGGCCUUCGGGGUGUAAACCGCUUUCGCCUGUGACGAAGCGUGAGUGACGGUAAUGGGUAAAGAAGCACCGGCUAACUACGUG
rnacentral:rRNA from 1 species